GGUCCGGUAGUUCAGUUGGUUAGAAUGCCUGCCUGUCGCAGGAGGUCGCGGGUUCGAGUCCCGUCCGGACCGCCA
rnacentral:tRNA from 1 species